UAAGGAAUAUUGGACAAUGCUCGCAAGAGUGAUCCAGCCAUGCCGCGUGCAGGAAGACGGCCCUAUGGGUUGUAAACUGCUUUUGAACUAGAGAAAACCCUCCUACGUGUAGGAGGCUGAUAGUAUAGUUAGAAUAAGCAUCGGCUAACUUCGUGCCAGCAGCCGCGGUAAGACGAAGGAUGCAAGCGUUAUCCGGAUUCAUUGGGUUUAAAGGGAGCGUAGGUGGAUUUGUAAGUCAGUGGUGAAAGCCGGCAGCUUAACUGUCGAACUGCCAUUGAUACUGCAGAUCUUGAGUAUGGUUGCUGUGGGCGGAAUAUGACAUGUAGAGGUGAAAUUCAUAGAGAUGUCAUAGAACACCGAUUGCGAAGGCAGCUCACAAAGCCAUUACUGACACUGAGGC
rnacentral:rRNA from 1 species